rnacentral:rRNA from 1 species
ACGGCUCAGUAACACGUGGACAAUCUAACCUACGGAAGAGGAUAGCCCCGGGAAACUGGGGAUAAUACUCUAUAGACUAUGGAUGCUGGAAUGCUUUGUAGUCGAAAGGUCCGCCGCCGUAGGAUGGGUCUGCGGCCGAUUAGGUUGUUGUUGGGGUAACGGCCCAACAAGCCUGUAAUCGGUACGGGUUGUGGGAGCAAGAGCCCGGAGAUGGAUUCUGAGACACGAAUCCAGGCCCUACGGGGCGCAGCAGGCGCGAAAACUUUACAAUGCGGGAAACCGUGAUAAGGGAACUCUGAGUGCCCGUAAAAUCGGGCUGUCCAUCAGUUUAAAAAACUGGUGAAGAAAGGGCCGGGCAAGACCGGUGCCAGCCGCCGCGGUAAUACCGGCGGCUCGAGUGGUGGCCACUAUUACUGGGCUUAAAGCGUUCGUAGCUGGUUUGUUAAGUCUCUGGGGAAAUCUUCCGGCUCAACCGGAAGGCGUCUCAGGGAUACUGGCAGACUAGGGACCGGGAGAGGUGAGGGGUACUUCAGGGGUAGGAGUGAAAUCCUGUAAUCCUUGAGGGACCACCUGUGGCGAAGGCGCCUCACCAGAACGGCUCCGACAGUGAGGGACGAAAGCUGGGGGAGCAAACCGGAUUAGAUACCCGGGUAGUCCCAGCUGUAAACGAUGCGCGUUAGGUGUAUCAGUGACCACGAGUCACUGAGGUGCCGAAGAGAAAUCGUGAAACGUGCCGCCUGGGAAGUACGGUCGCAAGGCUGAAACUUAAAGGAAUUGGCGGGGGAGCAC